AUGGCCGAGAUCUGUUACCGGCUGAGAACUAAACCAUAGAAGAGAUUUUGCACGAUCUGACAGUCCAAAUCAAAUCUCAAGCUUGAUCCAAUGGCCAGCAUUGAUUCUGACUUGAUUUAAGAUUAUUUGAGGCCUGAUCUGGAGCAUUAGAUGCUGGCCAAAAAUCUUGUUUCACGCACAGAUGCAUUUUGGACGUAAUUUGAGAAGUUUA
rnacentral:lncRNA from 1 species